UCUGCCCUACACAAGAGGACAACAGUUGGAAACGACUGCUAAUACUCUAUACUCCUGCUUAACACAAGUUGAGUAGGGAAAGUUUUUCGGUGUAGGAUGAGACUAUAUAGUAUCAGCUAGUUGGUAAGGUAAUGGCUUACCAAGGCUAUGACGCUUAACUGGUCUGAGAGGAUGAUCAGUCACACUGGAACUGAGACACGGUCCAGACUCCUACGGGAGGCAGCAGUAGGGAAUAUUGCGCAAUGGGGGAAACCCUGACGCAGCAACGCCGCGUGGAGGAUGACACUUUUCGGAGCGUAAACUCCUUUUCUUAGGGAAGAAUUCUGACGGUACCUAAGGAAUAAGCACCGGCUAACUCCGUGCCAGCAGCCGCGGUAAUACGGAGGGUGCAAGCGUUACUCGGAAUCACUGGGCGUAAAGGGCGCGUAGGCGGAUUAUCAAGUCUCUUGUGAAAUCUAAUGGCUUAACCAUUAAACUGCUUGGGAAACUGAUAGUCUAGAGUGAGGGAGAGGCAGAUGGAAUUGGUGGUGUAGGGGUAAAAUCCGUAGAUAUCACCAAGAAUACCCAUUGCGAAGGCGAUCUGCUGGAACUCAACUGACGCUAAGGCGCGAAAGCGUGGGGAGCAAACAGGAUUAGAUACCCUGGUAGUCCACGCCCUAAACGAUGUACACUAGUUGUUGGGGUGCUAGUCAUCUCAGUAAUGCAGCUAACGCAUUAAGUGUACCGCCUGGGGAGUACGGUCGCAAGAUUAAAACUCAAAGGAAUAGACGGGGACCCGCACAAGCGGUGGAGCAUGUGGUUUAAUUCGAAGAUACGCGAAGAACCUUACCUGGGCUUGAUAUCCUAAGAACCUUUUAGAGAUAAGAGGGUGCUAGCUUGCUAGAACUUAGAGACAGGUGCUGCACGGCUGUCGUCAGCUCGUGUCGUGAGAUGUUGGGUUAAGUCCCGCAACGAGCGCAACCCACGUAUUUAGUUGCUAACGGUUCGGCCGAGCACUCUAAAUAGACUGCCUUCGUAAGGAGGAGGAAGGUGUGGACGACGUCAAGUCAUCAUGGCCCUUAUGCCCAGGGCGACACACGUGCUACAAUGGCAUAUACAAUGAGACGCAAUACCGCGAGGUGGAGCAAAUCUAUAAAAUAUGUCCCAGUUCGGAUUGUUCUCUGCAACUCGAGAGCAUGAAGCCGGAAUCGCUAGUAAUCGUAGAUCAGCCAUGCUACGGUGAAUACGUUCCCGGGUCUUGUACUCACCGCCCGUCACACCAUGGGAGUUGAUUUCACUCGAAGCCGGAAUACUAAACUAGUUACCGUCCACAGUGGAAUCAGCGACUGGGGUGAAGUCGUAACAAGGUAACCGUAGGAGAACCUGCGGUUGGAUCACCUCCUUU
rnacentral:rRNA from 1 species